rnacentral:piRNA from 1 species
UACACUUGACAGUGUUUCCUCCUGGUUGCUU